rnacentral:sRNA from 1 species
UCCCAUUUUCCUUAGAAUUACCUUUUCUUUCUUGGACCUGCCUGCAUACAGAAUAGAUCUGUCUGCAUUGAGUGUAUUCAGUGAGCUAAGCUAAGGGAAGACUGCAGUGGGCAGGGCCUUACUUUCUUGUGAGUGAACUCUUUGCAGGUUUUAAGGAAUAUGACUACUCUGCUUUAAGGGGGUGUGGGGAGCACUUUGUUAAAGCAAUGUGCAUUCUGAAUCCAUUUCAUAGGCGUCCUUACUCCGUGGCAGCUACACCUUUAAUCGUGGAUUAUAAUAACUUUUAAAUGAGUGCAAAACUUUCAGGAUCUUUUCCUUAAGUUGGGAAAUGAGAUUUUUUUUUUCUGCUCUUUUCGGGUAUCACUUAAAUUAAGCUCUGGUACGGAGUCAGGAGUCUUUUUCUUUACACUCCUUCAGCAUGUUUUCCAUGGUACUAGCCGACACUGUGCAGGCGGGUGAGGGACAGGCUGGGGCGUUUCGGCAGCUGACCUGGGCUGCUCUUCCAUUUCAGGUGAUCGUGCAGUCCGGCCGCCACCCCACAGUGCUGCAGAAGCUCUGCCAGUUGCCCUUCCAGUAUUUCAGUGACCCACGGCUGAUCAAAGUACUGUUCCCUUCACUUAUCGCUGCUUGUUACAACAACCAUCAGAACAAGAUCAUUCUGGAGCAAGAGAUGAGCUGUGUUUUACUGGCCACUUUCAUUCAGGAUUUGGCACAGACUCCAGGUCAAGCGGAAAACCAGCCUUACCAACCCAAAGGUAUGUCUCUAUUGAAAUUAAAUUUCAUGUGUUUGUUAGCCAAAUGGACAUCUUUCUUAUCCUUUCCUCUGGAACUGCUACAUUAUAUGUAAAAUUUUAUACAUAACCUAAAAAUAUUUGAGAUUCAGAUACCAAGUAUAUUUCAGUAAGUAAAGAAAUCGAUUUUGUCAUGAAGCAUGAAUGCAUCCAAAUAUGUAUAGAAAUCUAUGGGAGUAAAAGAAAAGCACAAAUAUCUUUGUAUAAUUUAUAAUCAUCUCAUGCAAGAUAUAUUAAAUGGUAAAUAAUUACUAAAGAGCCGCUUUGUAAUACAGGAGCCAGAUCAUUAAUACUGGCCCACAUUUCUCACAUAAAUGCUGAAAUCACAUAGGUUUGGUUCCUUAUCCAUGUUCAGAAUAAAGUUAUCAGUAAUAGUAGCCCACAGUUUCCCCCCAAGUUCAAGUAGUUGAACUUUUGUUUUGAAAAUAAUUGUUUUACAUGGAGAAAAAGUCAUCUAAUUGGCAAAGUCCAGGGCAAAAGAUUUACAAGUUGUUUUUUUUUCCUAUAGCAUUCCUGCUGGGGUGUUUGCUGUGAUCAGAGUUAGAGAUGUAGAAUUUUUACCACAUUUUUACUUUUUUAAAUAUUCUGCUACCCAGACUGUAAUUGAGAAGUACAAGUUGCUCUUUGGGUGUUAUGACAGCAUCUCUGAUGAAUGAGACCCUAAUCCAGAUCUUCUUCAAUUCUUCCAUUAGUUUGAUAGUCUUUAAAGUGGCCAUUUAGAGGUACACUCCCAGCAGGACCCUUUAGGGCACCCACCAAGAAACCCUUACUUGGUGGGGGUGGGGGUGUUACCUUGGACUCUUUCACACACACACACACACACACAAAGUCCUCUACAGUGGACAGGUGUUGAAAAGUGCACAGAAGAAAAUAUAACUAAAGCUAUUACAAUAUCAUGAAAAGAAAAAAAAAAGACUUUUUUUUGACUCAGGCACCCAGAAAAGUUAAACAGAAAGCUAUGCAACUUUUCAGAAAUUCAAGUCCACAUCCUUGUCGGUACCAUUUGUCUGAGCAAGAAUUAGUCUGCAAGUUCAGUUCUGCCCUGACCCAGUCACAGCCCUUUUUUUGUUUUGUUUUGUUUUAACUACUGGAGGAUACUUGGGGAGAAAUCAGCAAAAUGUGUUACUGUUCUUACAAAACAAUUUCAUUUUGAAUAAAUUAAAAUGCUUAGAAAAAUCUAAUGUAUUUAUUUUCAAUUGUACAGCAGUUUUGUUUUGUUUUGUUUGCCACUAAGAAGUAUAAGCAUUUUUUUCUUACUCUUUCUCCUGAUCAUAAAGAUGAGUCACAAUUUGUUACAUUGUCUGGAAGACACAGUCCCAGAAGCUGCCUCUGUCUGCUUGGUGGACUGAGGCCUGUGGAAGUCUCAACCUUCUUUCUUUUCCAAGGGACCAUCUUCCCUGAUUUUCAUGCUUUCCCCCAGUUACAGUAGGCUUAACCCACAGAACAGCAAAGGGGGAAUUGGUCUCUCCUUUGCUCAGAAAGGGUCAUCACUAUGUUAAUGACAGCUCGUAAUAUGUUGCUUGAUUUUUUUUUUUAAUGAUGAUGCCUAAGUUGCCAGUUUGCACCUUGGGUAUUUGUUCCCCUUUUGCCUAGAUUAAGUCCUCAUAAAAUGUCUCAAGAUAUUUUGAGUUCAUUGUCCAGGUAAACCUUUAAAUAUAAAAGCAGCUCUUGGUAAUACCACAUUCCUAUUGCCCAGGAAGAAUUUUGGUUUUCAAAUACCUACUGCCUGUCUAGCUGCAAUUGUUUACUUUACCUAUGUCACUGGCCAGUAAAGCUCCUAUCAUUCAUUCCUACUGCUUUGUUUAGAUAGGCUGUGCUAUAUUUGAAUAAUUUUAAAGAUAUACUUAAAACUACAUUCAUGUUUUAAAUUAAAUAGACUUUCAGAAAACGUCAUCAUUUACAUACAGUUUUCCCCUUUCAUGGCUAACUUAAGGAUAGAAUAUAGGACUGUCAUUUUAGUUUGUUCUUUUUUUUUUUUUUUUUUUUUUUUUUUUUUUUGAGACAGGGUCUCUCUAUGUUGCCUAUCCUGGAGUGCAAUGGCUACUCACAGGUGCGAUCAUAGCAAACUAUAGCCUCUAACUCCUGGGCUCAAGCAUUCCCCCGACUUCGGCCUUCCAAAUAGCUGGGACUACAGGCGCGCACCACUGUGCUUGCCUGGUUGCUAAUUUUUUUCUCAUUGUGGAGUCCAAAAACAUCUUUUUGUAAUUUAUAUAGGGGUUAAUGUCUGAAUAUGUUAAAGGACAAACUGGAUUGUGGUUAAAAUAUAUGUCAUAUAUUUUAUACUACAGAUAGAUUGAUACACAUAGAUCAAUCACCUUAUUUACCUAAAUUGUGUCAUGGUUUAUUUGAAGUGGAUAUCUCCAUUUUAUACUCAGAUAUCAAAAUAAGUUUAAUUUAUGAAUCUUCAAAGAAUUUAACCCUCUUUUAUUUAACUUUUUUCUCUUUUAUCCCCCUCUCAGGGAAAUGCCUUGGUUCCCAAGACUAUCUUGAGCUGGCUAACAGAUUUCCUCAGCAGGCCUGGGAAGAAGCUCGACAGUUUUUCUUGAAAAAAGAGAAAAAAUAAAUGUUUUGGUUGAUUCUGUAUUUGAGUACCCUUGUUAAUAUUUUAAAUUGUUCAAACAAACAUUCUAAUUGUUCCUUAAGAACUCAUUUUCCCAUGUUUAUACUCUUCCCACACUGUAGAUAUGGCGUGUACUUUACACUAUUUAUAAUGACUGUAGAUACUUGAAUGUUCUACUUGCUAAUUUUGCAAGUUGAGUUUAUUUCAUUUAUGCAGAGUAUCUUGGAGUUUGGUAAUUUCCAUCUUAUGAUAAUAUAUACUUUGCAUUUGUAAUAUGGGUUAAAGGAGACAUAAAAUUAGCAAGUCUGUUUUGUUCUUGUAAUAAAGUAACUUAUUCUGUUUUCAUUGUUGACUUUUCAUGUUAAGGAAAUACGAAUCUGAAAGAAAAAUGUUAACUCCAGCUCUUGAAGUAUCUUAAAUAAAGACUUAAUUAAAGUUU